rnacentral:sRNA from 1 species
UCUAAAAUAGCUGUUAAGCAAAGAGAAAAUUGGGCCUGAUAGGGUGAGAAUCACAGCUCUAAUACCUAGAGUGACCUUAUAAUGUAUUGUCCAAAGGAGAUAUUUUUGACAGUGAAAGAGGGUGUUGUUAGUAAUUAUAUCAGGACCGUGGCCUAAACCAGGACUAUCCCAGGCAGCCUGGGACAUAUUUGUACCCCAUCUCUAUUUAAUGCCUUUAUACAAUUCUUUACUUAAUUCUACCAGCCUUUAUUGAGCCUGCUUUCUUUGUCUAGCUGAGUGCCACAUGCUGACAUCACUAAGAUCAAUACGGCAAACUCUGAAAGAUGGACAGAGAGACAGGAGAUGGUCCUUUAUAAUGCAGUGUGAUCUGUGCUGCAAUAGAGAUGGAAGAGUGUUCUGAUCGGCUGGAAAACAACGCACAUGGGAAGCUGUACGGAAAUGAGUGGGGAAAGGGUCUUGCUCUGUUGACCAGACCGUGACCUCCUGGGUUCAAGCGAUUCCCCACCUCAGCCUCCUGAGUAGCCGGGACUACAGAUUGGACGACUGAUUAUUGGACAGAAUGGCAUCUUGUCGACACCUGCGGUCUCCUGCAUUAUCAGGAAGAUCAAGGCAGCUGGUGGAAUCAUUCUAACAGCCAGCCACUGCCCUGGAGGACCAGGGGGAGAGUUUGGAGUGAAGUUUAAUGUUGCCAAUGGAGGUCCUGCACCCGAUGUUGUCUCAGACAAAAUCUACCAAAUCAGCAAAACGAUUGAGGAAUAUGCUAUAUGUCCUGAUCUCCGAAUCGACCUAUCUCGACUAGGAAGACAAGAAUUUGACCUAGAGAACAAAUUCAAACCAUUCAGAGUGGAGAUAGUGGACCCAGUGGAUAUCUAUCUUAACCUCCUUCGGACCAUCUUUGACUUUCAUGCCAUCAAGAGUUUGCUGACUGGGCCCAGCCAACUGAAGAUUCGCAUUGACGCAAUGCAUGGAGUUAUGGGACCUUAUGUGAGAAAAGUUCUGUGUGAUGAGCUGGGGGCCCCAGCCAAUUCUGCAAUAAACUGUGUUCCCCUGGAAGACUUUGGAGGGCAGCACCCCGACCCAAACCUGACCUAUGCAACGACUCUUCUGGAAGCAAUGAAAGGAGGAGAAUAUGGAUUUGGAGCUGCAUUUGAUGCUGAUGGGGACCGUUAUAUGAUCCUAGGCCAAAAUGGCUUCUUUGUGAGCCCUUCUGACUCCCUGGCCAUCAUUGCUGCCAACCUCUCUUGCAUUCCAUAUUUCCGUCAGAUGGGGGUCCGCGGGUUUGGGAGGAGUAUGCCAACCAGCAUGGCCCUGGACAGGCUCUGAGCCUCUGACUGUCUGGUCCAGGUAGCAAGUGUUUGCAGGAUUUCUAGACCCCAUGCUCUUACACCAGCUUGUCUAUGAAGAUAGAAGACAAAGCUUUUCUUUCCAAGAAGAAACUGAAAACAUCACCUCAAGUCUUGACUUUGGUUGGGAAAGAGUAACUGCAGUAAUUAGGAUCCAAUUGAUGGCAAAGGGGUAUUAUCUAGAAUACCUGAAACUUGGUAAUUUAUGAAGAAAAGGAAUUCAUUUCUUACAGUUAUGGAGGCUGAGAAGUCCAAGGUCCAGGGCCAUAACAGG